UAGACACUGAAGUCAUUAGCAGCAUUCUGUGACUAACACAAGCGCUGCACCUGAUGUUUCACUGAUCGAAGUGGACCCGGAUGGCGGCACGGACCUAUCUGGUGCAACAGCGGCGGCAUCAGAGGCUGACUCGGAGCCACCGAGUCGCAACGGGCAUCAGACCAGCAGCAAGAGGAACCGGGUGUCCCACGACACACGGCGGUGCUGGACCUGCUGAACUCGAUGGAGGAAACCGCGAUGGCUCAGAGGGAGCGCCAUCUAGAGUCCGUACUUGGGGAGUACAGGGCAGCAUGUGACCAGGAGGCGGCACUGCGCUGUGAGAAGUUGGAUUUGCAGAGACGGCAGCUGGACAACGAGCUAAUAUAAUAAGCAUAUAAUAGCAGAUAAUAAGCAUGUUACCUGUCCAUCAGAAACUUCCCCACCUCGUGAUCAGUCCUAAAUCCCUUUGUGCUUUGAAUGUCCGCCACCUCGUAAAGGAAUCUCCCAGUAAAACACGCGUUCUGCCUUCUUUUCUACGGCCUUUCUUCUAUCCUCUGCCAUCUCAAACAAUGUUCUUUCUUUGUGGCUAGCCAUCUUCGGACAUGCCGGGAGGAGCAAGCCGCUUCUGAAUGAGGUGCUUUGGUCACUCCCGCUGCAUGUCACUUCCUAAACAAUGCUCUGCGCAUGGCGGCUCGAAACCAGAGCAGCAGAGGCGGCGACUCGACAUAUGUCAUCACGCAAACGCGUUCCCACAUUGAUUGGCAUUAAGACUGCCGAAUCACGGAUUUGAACCAUACAAUUCUGAUUGGUUCUAAGGAUCCUACAGUAUACCUUAAACGUCUAUAUAUUCCUUUUGUAUUUCACAUAGUCUUUGCCAUCCAUCCAUCCAUCCAUUUUCUACCGCUUAUC